GGGAUACAGCGCGGUGUUUCCCCUCACAACGGUGCGGUCUAAACCUCCCACAAUACAGGUCGCGUGCAACACUAAUUUUGUCCUCAGAUUUUCUGUCCGGUCAAACGCUCUAUAGAAUCUUUAGUUUCACGCCCCUCAACGGUUGUAGGCUUCCUGGCUGUGAGGUUGAUGAGGAUUUUUCAAGCCGUUAAAAACGUUUGAAUGCAGUUAUCAACAGCGGAAAGUGCUGCAUACGUGACGGAACAAGGACGGGACUUGGACGUCGGCACCCUACAGUAUAUCAAGGUCAAGAAAACAUGUGUUAACCAGGACCGCUCUCCCCUCACUUGAUGACUUUAUUGCUCCCGUCGAGCUUUCCACUUGAUAAAUAAGCGCUCUCUUCUCCUUCCUCUCCUUCUCCUCUCUCCUUCACAACCUCCUGGCAGUUUGUUUUGUGGAG
ensembl:lncRNA